ensembl:lncRNA
UUUUUUUUUUUUUUUUUCCCCAACAGCUUUGUUGAGAUAUCAUUCACAUACUACAAAACGCACCCUUUUAGUAUAUAUGUUGCUGAAGCAAGUAGGGAAGUUCACCCUUUAAAAAUAUACAAUUAAAUAGCUGGUUCAUAUAUUACAGAGUUGUGCAGUGAUCACCAUCAUCUAUUUUCAGAACAUUUUCAUCUUCCCACAAAAGAAGCCCAGUACCUAUUAGCAGUCAUUCUCCAGUCUCCACUCCCCCCAGCACCUGGGAACUGUUUCCUCGAUUUGCCUAUUCUGGCCAAUAAAUGACCUUUUGCAACUGAAUUCUUUCACUCAGCAUAAUGUUUUCAAGGUUCAUCCAGAAAGCAUGUAUCAGUACUGCAUUCCUUUUUACAGAUUCUACUGUAUAGAUAUGACAUUUUGUUUAACCAUUCAUCAGUUGAUGGACUUUGGGUUUCCACAUUUUGGUUAUGAAUAAUGCUGCUACAAAUACUCAUGUACAAGCCUUUGUGUGGACAUGUUUGCAUUCUCUUGGGUGUAUAUACCUCUAUCACAUGUCUUAUUUAUUUGGUUAAUUCACUGCUGCGUCAUAUGAUAACCCUAUGUUCAACAUUUUAAGGAACUGCCAAACUUUCCCAAGUGAACUGGGUUGGAUCUUUAUUUUAAACAUUUUAAAUACUUGUGAUCAUUUUAAGUAAUAGUUUAGUUUGAAAAUUACUACUUUUACAGCUUGUGCAAUAUAAAAUGGCUGUACCCUGAGACUGUUCAGAACGAUAUACACUGGAUUUUGUCACAUGUGUGCCCAGGGUAGGAGAAAAUGAAAUUUAAAUUCUACCAUUUUUAAUUUCUGUUCGUGUAUGGUUUUGUUUGUUUUUUGUUUUUGAGACAGAGUCUUGCUCUAUUGCCCAGGCUGGAGUACAGUGGCGCAAUCUCGGCUCACUGCAACCUCCACUUCCUGGGUUCAAGAGAUUCUCCUGCCUCAGCCUCCCAAGUAGCUGGGAUUACAGGAGCUCACCACCACACCUGACUAAUUUUUGCAUUUCUAGUAGAGACAGGGUUUUGCCAUGUUGGACAGGCUGGUCUCAAACUCCUGACCUCAGGUGAUCCAUCCGCCACAGCCUCCCAAGGUGCUGGCAUCACAGGCAUGAGCCACCACACCAGGCCUAUUUGUGUAUUUCAAAGGCACAUAUUGUACUCAUAUAUUAGUUAACUCAUAUAAUUUUUUAAAAUUACAAAGUUAAUAAAGUAGCUCAAGUUUGAGGGAGUUUUAAAAAAUUACUAAUUUUAAAAAAAUCACAAUAUCGCUAUCAAGUGGCUGCAUUGACUGGCAACUAAUAUUGCAGCUUGCAUGGGAAGCCUUUAGAGCUUAUACAAAUUGCUGGACUGAAAUGACAAGGACCCCAUGAGCCUCCUGAACCCUUCAGUCUUUUUUCCUUGGUUCCAUAAGAUGCUUCUUCCCAACUAGGGCAACCCAGCAAGUCCUCAAAGAAAAUUGAAAUGUAAAUGAACAUGCUUAAGUAGAGAAAAAGCUUAAGGGAGGCUUCUGUUCUUCCAUUCACACAUUAACUUUUCCUGCUCAUUCUUUUAACACUCCCUUAGGCAUCCCUGCUCCCACCUUCCCAGUCACCCUGUCCAAUCCUCAACCCACAUCCUCAAAUGAGGGUGGCUGCCUCUCCUAUGUGUGCCCAUAAAAACCCAUAUUUCUAUCUAAGCACUUAGUAAACAGCAUUGACAUUGUUUUCUCUGUAUCCGUGUCACCAGAGAGUGAUCCCAUUGUGGGCAGGACUCAGUUUUAUUCAUCUCUAUGUCACUGGCUCCAAGCACUCUCUCUUAAUGGAGAGAGUACACAGUAUCUCCUAAUUAACCAGUGAAUGACUUUUCAAAAUAAUGACAUUCUGCCUCAAGUAGGCCAGACAUACAGCAACCCCUCACAGCCAAAUUGGGAAAUGGUGGUUCAUCAUAUACAAAAACUGAUAGAAUGAAGUGUGAAAGGAAAAUAAAAUGUCAGACCCCAGGCUGGGCGCAGUGGCUCACACCUGUAAUCCUAGCACUUUGGGAGGGGGAUCACCUGAGGUCGGGAGUUCGAGACCAGCCUGACCAUGGAGAAACCCUGUCUCUACUAAAAAUACAGAAAUUAGCCGGGCAUGUUGGCACGUGCCUAUAAUCCCAGCUACUCGGGAGGCUGAGGCAGGAGAAUCACUUGAACCUGGGAGGCGGAGGUUGUGGUGAGCCGAGAUCACGUCAUUGCACUCCAGCCUGGGCAACAAGAGUGAAACUCCAUCUCAACCACAACAACAAAAAAGGGAGACCCCAAACUUACUAUGCCAAAGGGAAAAGUGAAGCUUGGAAACUCAAUCAUGCAAAAAAACUGCCUUUCCUUUUGCCUAAACACAGCUGCAAGAUAGAAGGUUACAUAUCUCCUCAGUUGGUCUCCCUUACCUUGACAAUGUAAACAGCUUAUCUUCACAGAUACAGCACAAAGACAAGACUAGAAACCAUCCCUCUGCCCACCCCAGACAUAUGCAGAUGUGCUGAGUCCAGACAAAUACAUAAUUGACUGUUCCUCUACCCCACUUCACAUGUAACGUGGAUUCAGUGAGUACUAAUCAAAGCCUCAUAAGAAUAUGACCACCUAACUCACUACCUACACUCCUUUUCGUUUUUUUCCUCUACCCCUAGCCCUCCUACCCUCACUUUCCCCUUUAAAUACUGAAGCCUUCAAAAUCCUCUUUGGAAAAAGUGCGGGCCACAGAUCCUACUAUGACUCGUGUCUUUUUCCCGUGUGUCCUCGACCUUGGCAAAAUAAGCCUCUAAACUGAUUGAGACCUGUCUCAGAUACUUUUUAUUUCACAAAAGUAUUCACCACUCAGUGAGUCACGAUGAUGACAGCUUAACAUAUAUUCAUUUACGCCUAAGAACUACCCUAUAGGAUAUGUACAAUUGUUUACCCUAAUGUACAGAUGAGGAAACUAAAUCUUGAGAGAUUCAUGACUUGCCUGAGGUCACACAGAAAGUAGAGGAGUCAGGAGUUGAAUGAGUGGAAUCUAAAUUCUAUGAAGGCAUUUGGGAGGCCAAGGUAGGUGGAUGACCUGAGGUCAGGAGUUCGAGACCAGCCUGGCCAACAUGGUGAAACCCUGUCUCUACCAAAAAUACAAAAAUUAGCCAGGCAUGGUGGCAGAUGCCUUAAUCCCAGCUACUC